rnacentral:ribozyme from 11 species
UUUCAAAGACAAAAAUAAAAAACAACAAUGACUGCAUGCCUGAAUUAGUUAUUUUUUUUUUACUCCGUAUGAAUUCUGUAUUCCCAUUUCCUCUUUUAAUUCGA